GCCAGGCGUGGUGGUGCAGGCUACUGCACCUCCCAACUACUUGGGAGGCUGAGGCAGGAGGAUCGCUUGAGCCCGGGAGUUCUGGGCUAUCUCGCACUGUGCCCACCAGAUGUCUGCACUAAGUUCGGCAUCAAUAUGGUGAACUCUUUGGUAGUACAGGGGACCACCAGGUUACGUAAGGAGGGGUGAACCAGCCCUUUCCAGGAUGGAAAGGAAGUAGGUCAAAACUCUCAUGCUCAUCAGCAGGGGGACUGCAUCUGUAAAUAGCCACUGCACUCCAGACUGGGCAACAUAGUGAGACCAUACUUCC
rnacentral:SRP_RNA from 1 species